GAACGUACGCUGGCGGCACGCCUAACACAUGCAAGUCGAACGAAGUAGCAAUACUUAGUGGCAGACGGGUGAGUAACAUGUGGGUAUCUGCCCUUUGGCCUGGAAUAACACGAGGAAACUUGUGCUAAUACCGGAUAAGUCUUUACGGAGAAAGCUUUAUGCACCAUUGGAUGAGCCUGCACUUGAUUAGUUUGUUGGUGGGGUAAUGGCCUACCAAGACUGUGAUCAAUAGCUGAUUUGAGAGGAUGAUCAGCCACAUUGGGACUGAGACACGGCCCAAACUCCUACGGGAGGCAGCAGUGGGGAAUCUUGCACAAUGGAGGAAACUCUGAUGCAGCGAUGCCGCGUGAGUGAAGAAGGCCUUUGGGUUGUAAAGCUCUUUCGUCGGGGAAGAAAAUGACUGUACCCGAAUAAGAAGGUCCGGCUAACUUCGUGCCAGCAGCCGCGGUAAUACGAAGGGACCUAGCGUAGUUCGGAAUUACUGGGCUUAAAGAGUUCGUAGGUGGUUGAAAAAGUUGGUGGUGAAAUCCCAGAGCUUAACUCUGGAACUGCCAUCAAAACUUUUCAGCUAGAGUAUGAUAGAGGAAAGCAGAAUUUCUAGUGUAGAGGUGAAAUUCGUAGAUAUUAGAAAGAAUACCAAUUGCGAAGGCAGCUUUCUGGAUCAUUACUGACACUGAGGAACGAAAGCAUGGGUAGCGAAGAGGAUUAGAUACCCUCGUAGUCCAUGCCGUAAACGAUGUGUGUUAGACGUUGGAAAUUUAUUUUCAGUGUCGCAGGGAAACCGAUAAACACACCGCCUGGGGAGUACGACCGCAAGGUUAAAACUCAAAUGAAUUGACGGGGACCCGCACAAGUAGUGGAGCAUGUGGUUUAAUUCGAAGAUACGCGCAGAACCUUACCAACACUUGACAUGUUCGUCGCGACUCUAAGAGAUUAGAGUUUUCGGUUCGGCCGGACGAAACACAGGUGCUGCAUGGCUGUCGUCAGCUCGUGUCGUGAGAUGUUGGGUUAAGUCCCGCAACGAGCGCAACCCUCACUUUUAGUUGCCAUCAUUAAGUUGGGCACUCUGAAAGAACUGCCAGUGAUAAGCUGGAGGAAGGUGGGGAUGACGUCAAGUCCUCAUGGCCCUUACGUGUUGGGCUACACACGUGCUACAAUGGUAUCUACAACAGGAAGCAAGACUGCGAAGUUAAGCAAAUCCCUAAAAGAUACCUCAGUUCGGAUUGCACUCUGCAACUCGAGUGCAUGAAGCUGGAAUUACUAGUAAUCGUGGAUCAGCGUGCCACGGUGAAUGCGUUCCCGGGUCUUGUACACACCGCCC
rnacentral:rRNA from 1 species